AAGAAAAUAGUUCAGAUAGGCCAUUGCUAUGUACCUCUACUUAUGUCAUUUGCAUUUUCCUUUCUUUCUAUCUUUCUUUUUUCUUUCCGUAUUAU
rnacentral:ribozyme from 14 species